rnacentral:tRNA from 1 species
GGGGGUGUAGCUCGGUGGUAGAGUGUUUGCCUGACCUGUGCAAAGCCCUGGGUUUGAUCCCCAGCACCACAA